rnacentral:rRNA from 1 species
UACGAAGGGGGCUAGCGUUGUUCGGAAUCACUGGGCGUAAAGCGCACGUAGGCGGAUCUUUAAGUCAGGGGUGAAAUCCCGAGGCUCAACCUCGGAACUGCCUUUGAUACUGGGGAUCUCGAGUCCGGGAGAGGUGAGUGGAACUGCGAGUGUAGAGGUGAAAUUCGUAGAUAUUCGCAAGAACACCAGUGGCGAAGGCGGUUCACUGGCCCGGAACUGACGCUGAGGUGCGAAAGCGUGGGGAGCAAACAGG